rnacentral:tRNA from 1 species
GGCUCCGUGGUGUAGUUGGUAUUGCAUUGGCCUAGAAUGCCGAAGACGCUGGUUCGAAUCCAGCCGGUGCCC